rnacentral:antisense_RNA from 1 species
CUUGACCGACCCCAGCCACAACGGCUGCUCGGCCGGACGGUCCUGGCCGUAGGUGGCCAGCAGUGCCUGCGCCUC